CUGGAAAAGACAGUGAUGUUUCCUUUCCAAGCACAUAUCUGAGCCAAAUGUGUGGAGAACCCCGAACUGAGUCUUUUCCAU